UCUUAAACCCUUAGAGAUCAACUCACUUCCAUCUCCUAACCCUAGUCCUUCUCUCUCUAGCGAACCCUAGCCGCCCUAAAAUCCACACUGGUGGUCACCACCCCAAGCACCCCCAAAUCUUUAUCCUACACUCCCCAUUCCUCCUAAUAUGUAAUCCCCUAUCAAUUUCUCUAGAAACCUCCCCAAAAUCCAUAAUUUCCAGAUCCAAGAACCCCAAAAAACCUAGUUCCACCUUUUUCAAUUCUUGAAGUUUUGAGAACACAAUUCGAGUUGAAACUCACAUUAAUUGUUUGUUCUCAACCAGAACAAUCGAUUGACGUUACUUUCGGCUCAUUUCAAAAGUAUUCGGACUUAGUGGUUGACUAAACGUUUGGCACAAGGCCUUCUUGUUAUGUUUUAGGUAAUCUUGUGUCCUUUUUUUGUUUCCUUUUCUUCGGUUUUCACGAGUUUUAAUCUUUUUUUUUUUUACUUGUCAGCAUGUUAGGAUUUGAUGUCAUUUGAUUAUGUGUUUGCAUAAUUUAAUUAAUAGUUUAAUUGCAUGACUUUGAUUAGUUAAUUACUUUAGGUUAAUCAUCAAAAUUUUUUUAGGUUGUAAGUAUUUUCUGUUUUGAAUAGCAUAAUUCUUUCCCCAUUCUUGUUUCUUUUGUUCCUCUAAUUAAUUGUAUCUUAGCUGUUUUUUGUUUAAUUAGACUAGUCUUGUUAAUUGCCCUACGUUGGUAUUUAGGUCUAAAAAGAGGGGGUUGAGAGAGAUAGAAAGUAAGGAAUCUUUUGUUGAGCUGUUAAGAAUUGUUAGCAGGUAUUAGAAGGGAUUAAAGUACAAUUAGAUAAAACUUGGGGUGAAAAAGAGGUAAAAACAAAAGUAAAAAGAGCUGGAAAAUAAGAAGAAGCUUCUGGAUGAUGGACGACAGUUGUCCAAAUUUAUUAAGGGAAAGAUGCUGAAAAUUAGAUAAACAUCUGAAAAUAGAACAGCUGUCCAUUUUGGUUGAAAAAAAAGAUGCCUCAUCCCCUAAUUUUCAGCUGACAUUCCAUAUAUUCCCUCCCAUUUUCCCUCAUAUAGGACACCCUCCUACACUCUAUAAAAGAUACCUCACACUCCUUCACACAGAGGUGUAUUCACCCUGCUUUCCUCUAAAAGAAUACACUCGCAGAAAGCUUCUGAGAAAUCAAAAAACUUCUAAAUCUGAGAUCUUAAGCAGAAAAUUCCAAAAAAAAAGAGAAAACAAAAGGAAAACAGAAUAGAGAAACGAUUUAUGUGUUUGCUCAAGUCUGUGGCUGGUUGUUUCAUUUUCUGGGUUCAUAGAUGCUAUUUUGGUGUUAAAGUGUUGUUGAAUCUGACGCUUCUACUCUUGCUGAGCUCCAGUUUUCCUUUCUCUAGCCUUAUUUGCCUAUUCUAAGUUGCACUACUACUGUUAAGGUAUGUGCUUGUGGUCUCAAAUAAUUUAAUCACUAUUUGAAUAUCAUAUUGCUAUGAAAUCUCAGUUGUCUGUUCAUUUACAUGUAUACUGAAUGCUCUUUCAUAUUUGACUGCAAGUGUGAGUUCGGUUUGAAGUACCUGAUGUGAUGAAUGCCUAAAACCAUACAAGAAAUUUGAAUAAUAAUAAGAAACAAUCAGGAAAUCUAUUUUGUUUUAUUUUUAUCUUUGUUUGUCAAAAUUUUGAGUUGCUAUUGAUGGAUUCCUUACGCAUGAAGUUCUGCAAUUUCCCUGUAGGUUUGUGGUUUGUGGUUUAAGAAGUAACACGCCAAAAGUGUUGGUGACGAAUUUAGAAAUCUGACCAGUGCUUGGCCUGAUUUUUUAAAGUUCCACCACUUGAAAGUGGUCAUUUGUGUAAUAGUUUAAUUCUAGUUUAGUAUAGUUCCUAGUACAGAAAUGUAAUAAUCUGGUUCAUCAUUAGUGAAUGUAGUUGUGUCGAGUCAGUAGAUUGAUAGUUAUUUCAAACCAUGGAACGCUGUUGUAUAGCAAUUCAGUAUGAGUUUAGUGUUUAUAUCUGUUGAAAUGCUUAACUGUGGUAGUGAAGUAUAGAUAUAAUUCUUCCUGGCAUUUGUUAAGCUGAUUGCAUGCUGAAUUUCAUUUUUGUAGAAGAACCUGUUUGUUUCAGUAGUUAUUGUUUUCUUGCAAAGUUUUGGGUCUGGCCACUAUUCAGGCCCACUUUGGAACACCUUAUGGAUUGAAGUUUAAUUUAUGGCAAUAAAGGGGGCUGCCAAGCCCGAUUUUGUCAGGCUCACACUUUAUAUUAAUAAAAUGGCUCUUUGUUUUUGUAAUAGGCCGACACAUGAGUUUAGGUUUUUUUCAAAUUGUUAUUAUCUUUUAAAGUUUUUUUUACACACUUGAUCCUUUUUAACUAUUAUUUAAAAAAAAUAGAAUCAUUUAUUAUUUAUUCCAUAAAAAGCACUUUUUUCUCAUUAUUAGCAUAUUAUAAAAAUUAAGCCCAACAUUCAUCUUCU
rnacentral:lncRNA from 1 species